GAUGAACGCUGGCGGCGUGCCUAAUACAUGCAAGUCGAGCGAACAGACGAGGAGCUUGCUCCUCUGACGUUAGCGGCGGACGGGUGAGUAACACGUGGAUAACCUACCUAUAAGACUGGGAUAACUUCGGGAAACCGGAGCUAAUACCGGAUAAUAUAUUGAACCGCAUGGUUCAAUAGUGAAAGACGGUUUUGCUGUCACUUAUAGAUGGAUCCGCGCCGCAUUAGCUAGUUGGUAAGGUAACGGCUUACCAAGGCGACGAUGCGUAGCCGACCUGAGAGGGGGAUCGGCCACACUGGAACUGGAACACGGUCCAGACUCCUACGGGAGGCAGCAGUAGGGAAUCUUCCGCAAUGGGCGAAAGCCUGACGGAGCAACGCCGCGUGGGUGAUGAAGGUCUUCGGAUCGUAAAACUCUGUUAUUAGGGAAGAACAAAUGUGUAAGUAACGAUGCACGUCUUGACGGUACCUAAUCAGAAAGCCACGGCUAACUACGUG
rnacentral:rRNA from 1 species